GUCCACGCUGUAAACGAUGUGCACUAGGCGUGGGGCCCGUACGGGUUCUGUGCCGUAGCUAACGUGAUAAGUGCACCGCCUGGGGAGUAUGCUCGCAAGGGUGAAACUCAAAGGAAUUGACGGGGGCCCGCACAAGCGGUGGAGCAUGUGGUUUAAUUCGAUGGUACACGAGGAACCUUACCAGGGCUUGACAUGUGCGUGAAUGUUCACGAGAGUGGGCAGCCCCGCAAGGGGCGCGCACACAGGUGCUGCAUGGCUGUCGU
rnacentral:rRNA from 1 species